AUUCCAUGAUGAGGGCACUUCUGUGAUAAUUCUUUGUACCUUUCCCAUGCCUCAUACAAGGACUCAUCAUCCAUUUGUUGGAAGGCAGUGAUCUCAUCCUCAACUU
rfam:Gossypium arboreum cultivar AKA8401 contig_80257_1, whole genome shotgun sequence.